GUCACACAUCAUUUGAAUCCCGGCCAAUGUUAUGACGUCUUAUUUAAGAGUUGCGAAAUGUUUUAAGAACGCUUAGUUAGAUACAUUUUUGUAUUGCGUUUUAGGCAUAUCUUCAUGUCUAAAAAUUGUUUCUCGUUUUCAAGGCACAGACGUGAAUGAUACCUAAUCACGAGCUACGAUCUUUAUAACGCUGACGACAUGCAAAACGACCCUCGGGAGCAGACGAUAGGAAUUCUGACUGUGACAACUGAUUCAGAUGAUUCUUAUUUAAGAAGGGUACAUGUAUUUAUCUACGAUGACAGUGAACGCUCAAUGAAAUAUAUUCGACUGAUUUCAAAUAGCUUCAUGUUUGACGGACACCUGGUCGAAUCAUAUCAACUUCUAAGAGGAGACCUUCCCGGAUACAGACCUCUAUCGGAAGCGAACGUGAGCAUUGUGCUAUUCCCAGAGAUCUAUCGGACAGACUCCGGCUUACUUAAACUAAUAGCCAAUGUUUUGUGUGACAAGGGAAAAGUAAAUGCACGAAAGUUACUGUUGGCUAAGUUUGACGAUUCGGUGAUACCAUCGUAUUUAGAAUUCGAAGAUGAUCUCGAUCUUACCAAAGACACGUGGAUGGAAACCCUGCAGACACGGAUCGGCUACACAACGUAAAUGGUCAGGUUUGGUAAGAGUGAAAGUAUUGGAGACCAUCUAGACGAUAUAAAGGUUGAUUCGAUGAACAUACAGAAGAGUCCUAAAAUUCGUUAUGACCAUCCCGCCCAACAUUUGGUGACGCCCGAGGACGACACAUGUAUAUACAUGGUACGCGGAGACACCAGUGACGAGUUAGAUACCUCCAGACAAAUCACAAAUCUCCUCUCCAUCGCGGGAGGAUAUAUUUGUGAAUCAUUUUCUACAUCUGAUCAGGCCAUUCAAUUUUUACCACAGUUUUUGCGUUGCUUUCCGAAAUUACAAACCGUAGUUCUGAUCUUGGAAACAAUAUACGGUGCCAAAUCUAAGGCGUCUGACUACGGUAUUCUACUGCGGGAGAACAGUGACAUUGUGGUUCUUUCGAUUGAAUUAUGUCAUCUCCGAGGACCACACGACUGCAUACAUACGUCAGAUCGAAAACCAGGCCACAUCAAACUUAUUGGAAAGUAUAGGGAUUGGUACAGAUUGAUACUCGACGAAGUUAAAAAUGUCGUGAAAAAGAAUGCCCCAGCGAAGAUGAGAUAUGUUGGCAGAGUGAUGAACGCAGUGAAUGAUGCAGCCGUAGUAACCAGAAAAAACUGCAAGCCUCGGCCUGUCUGUCGUGCGACACGUAACAAGAGGAAUGCUUUGCCGACGAUACUGACUCCAGAUGAUAGCGUCAACAUUCCAUUGCUAGACGUAUAUGACCCCAAAGCAGAUGGGAAUCAGUUGCCAGCAGAUUCAAGUUGGACAAAUCCAUCACAUCAGGCAGUUCGGAGAAGCUUUCCAGCAGAUUCCGAUACGUGCUGGACUCGUUUGGCACCCCUAGCAGUCAGGAAUCACUUACUAGCAGAUUCAAAGCUAAGGAAGGAGAACUCACAUCUGGUAUGGAGAAAGAUACCCAAUACCAGUCAAUGUUUGAGUUAUUUGAUGCUGAUAAAGACGGGAGUAUUACACUAGAUGAGCUCUGCGACGUGGUAAAACAACUCGGGCUUGACUGGGAGAAAGACGUUAUCGAAAACGACAUGAAAAAGUUCGACAUAGAUGGGAAUGGUACGAUAGAAAUAGGCGAAUUUUUGACGAUGAUGGAAUCCUACAAGGUUGAUCCGGAAAAAGAGAUAAGACAGAUGUUUGACGUCAUCGAUAAGGAUCGGGAUGGAUCGAUAACGACAGAAGAAAUCUUGCGGACAUGGGAAAGCAUUGGCUUCGAAUGUACAAUGCAGGAAGUCAAACGUAUGAUCGCUGAUGGGGCGAAGACCACAAUGGCGUCAUCCACUUUGAAGAGUUAAGUGUUUUUCUGAACGCUCUCGGGACUUCCUUGGCCGUCCAGAAAACCUUUUUGUACGACACCUCAGUGUGUGCCUGGAAGUCGUGAAGCGGUAAAUCUGUUCAAAUGAACAUGCUAGUAUUUACAUUUUCUUAGAAUAUGUUUAUGCGAAGGAAUGUACCAUAUAAUAACACAAAUAUUAAUUACUGUCGAUUUAUCGAACAAUAAUUACGUCACGACUACUGGCCCUGUCGCCGUCAAAUAUAUUGCAAAAUACGGAGUUACAUUUUCGGUCAUUGAGUUUGAUACGGAAUGAAAUACAUUGAUUAUUUGGUGUUGUGGCAUCCGUGAUUGCCUGUACAUUGUGAUGUAAAAAUGAAUAUAUGUAUGUAAUGCCAAAGAAAAUAUCGUUGAAAACAUGAAACAUCACGACCACUGCUCGUGUCUCAUUACAGUAAUUCGUUUAUGCGGAAGACUAGCGUUCACAAUAUUGUCUAAAAAAAUCGCAGGAACUAAAUGAAUGUUUUGUUUCACACAGAGUUCAAGAAGAUGUGCAAGAAAUUAAAAAUCCACCAGACUGGACCAGCUUCCAAGGGAGGACAUUAACGUUAUGAUGAAACGUACAUUAACCCUAUCACCCCUAUGUAACUUUAGUAGACUCUACCAGACAUUGAUCUGGAUGAGUCCAUUAUGGUCUACAGUGGUGAAAGGCAUAACAAAUGUUUUAUAGUGAACAUAACCAUGAUUGAGCCAAUCUCUGAAUAUCCAGAUUCAAUGUCGGUGGAAGAAAAUAUACAUGACAUGUACAGAGGGCCUUAUCGGUUAUAUGAGAGCAUCUGAAUUGGCCAGAAAUUGGUUUACUGUUGCAAUAUUUUAACAACUGGAUGCGAACAGUGUGUGUUUUGGUUAAUUUUAGCAAUAAUCUUGUAGAAAUCUCUUCCUGUUAUAACUGAUGCAAACAAUAGUAGGCAUAGAAUGUUUAAGUUGUAUAUUGAAAGAAAAAAUAAAAUCUUAAGUUUUAGUUCAGGGGUUGAAUUAGAUUCCGGAGCCAAUCGGGUUUGGUUUUAUUUUGAUUCACGUCCUAUCAACAGCUAAGGUCAUAUAAGGUCAUAUAAGGACGUGCCUCUAUAUAUAUAUAUACGUAUGUCGUGUAUGCAUUUUCUAUGAUUGAUAGAAAAUGAGUAGAAGGGAGACAGUAUGGAGUGAAUGGAUAGAAGAGAGAGGGAGCCGUCUGUCCUAUAUGUUUUAACUGUAUAUGACUAGUUUUUUUAAGAUGGCUCCUAGGCCUAAUGUUGCCUUAUCCCAACACUAGUCGUUAGCAGCACCAAGUCUGGACCGGUAGUGAGGUAGAAAGCCGCCAACAUUAACACCAGCUCCUAACUAUUUCAUACAUUUGGUUUGUAUAUAAAAUUUUAAAGUCCUUCUAAAUGUCUUAAAUAAAAAAAACUAGUUCUAACGGUCGAACAUUUGGAAUAAAGCUUACCCUAACAUCUGUCCAGGCGUUUACGCGCUUACUCGUUUUCGAAAAACUCUGAGGGAUCUUUUUCAUACCACCAUUUAUAGUCCCAUCCGACGGACUGCGUGUUAGUGGUUAGAGUAAUGCAGGUGCUGUUUUUUGUUGUUGUCCGUUCAUGUUAUCCACUCUUCGUCUUUCGUCAUUUAAAAUAAAGCUGACUGAACUUUACCAACGUCCUCUUUCUUAUAAACCUUUUCUUGUCUUUCACCUGAUCCUAUUCCUCUUUCCGACAUUUACGUUUUUUGUUAAAGCGUGAUUAUUAGUGAGGAUAGGAGGGGAGAGAGAGUGUACAAUCGUUACGAUUUAGUAUGUGGGUGGGGCAGGGGGGUAUGAAAGAAGUGAAGGGAACCAUGGAGAUGUGUUGUUUGAAGGGGAGAGGAGAUGGGCCUUUAUUAUAAUA